UGGUGGAGUGAUUUGUCUGGUUAAUUCCGUUAACGAACGAGACCUUAGCCUGCUAACUAGCUUGUUGUCCUACUCAGGGCUUCCAGCUUCUUAGAGGGACUUUGUGCAAAACACAAGGAAGUUUGAGGCAAUAACA
rnacentral:rRNA from 1 species